UCCCACUUUACACCUCUAUAUUUCUGUGUGUGUGUCUUUAAUUCCUCUAGCACCACUGGGUUAGGGUCUCCCCAACUGAGCUGGUCUCGGCACUUCUCUUUGCCUUAAAAACAGGUACAGCGGACCUUCCUGGCAUCAGAAAAAGGCCUCCAGAAAAAGAGACACAGGAACUGAUUUCAUCUGAAAUUGAAGAGACAAUCAGAGAAAAACUAUAGACCACUCAUGAUGGUUGUUAUAUGUGCUUGGCUGGGCCAUGGGUCCCAGUGUUUGGUGAAACACAGCAGCAGAUGUCCCUGUGAGUAGAUGUUGCUUUGAAGGUAUCUUUUAGAUGUGAUGAACAUUUGUCAUCAGUAGACUUUGAGUAAGGCAGAUAGCCCGUCACAAUGUGGAUGGGCCUUAUCCAAUUAGUUGAAGGCCUUUGAAAAAAGACUGAGAUCCCAAACGAAGAAGGAAUUCUGCCUCCAGACAGCCUUCCAACUCAAGUAGCAACAUAACCUCCUCCCUGCGGCUCUAGCCUGCUGGCCUUUCCUAUAGACUUCAGACUUGCCAGCCCCACAAUCAUGUAAGCCAAUUCCUUAAAAUAAAUUCUCUGUCCUGUUUUUGCCCCCUCUCUCUUUCUGACAGCACACACAUGCCCUCUUGGUUCUGUUUCUUUGAAGAACCCCAGGAAAACACACAAAGGAAAAACAACUCGAUAGACAGAAGAUUCUUCAAUGACAACAAUGGAAGCCAUCUUCACCAUUCAACUAAACUUGAAUGGGAUAUUAUCAAACUUAAAAAAAAAUUAUCAACUGAUCGUGUAAUCAGUUUCAUCUUUU
rnacentral:lncRNA from 1 species